rnacentral:rRNA from 1 species
AAUUUAAACUUAAUUUAAAUUUAAAUAUUAAUUAUAAUUUUUAAUUAUAUAUAAAAUUAAUUUAAAUAAUUUAAAAAAUUUAAUAUAAAAAAUUAAUUAUUAAAAAAAUUUUUAAUUAAAGAAAAUUACAAUAUAAAUAAAAAAAUGUGCCAGCAAUUGCGGUUAAACAUUUUAUAUAAAUUAAUAAUUAUUUUAAUUUAAAUAAUAUAAAUAUUUAUAAAAAUAUAUAUUUAAAUAUAAAUUAAUAAUCAAAUAUUAAUUUAUAUAAAAAUAUANUUUAUUUAAUAAUAUAAUUUAUAAAUUUUUCAAAAACCUAGGAUUAGAUACCCUAUUAUUAAAAUAAAACAUUUUAAUUAAAAAAAUAAAUAAUAUUUUAAUAUCCAAAUUUAAUAAAUUUGACAGUAUAUUAAUCUUUUAAAGGAAUAUAUUUUAAUAGAAAAUAAACUAUAAAAAAUACUUAAAUUCAAUGUUUGUAUAUUGUUGUUUUAAUUUAAUUUUAAAAUAAGUAAUUUAAAUAUUUUUUUAAAUAAAAAUUCAAAUCAUAAUUCAACUAAUAUUUAAGAAAAAAGGUAUUACAAUAAAAUAAAAUAUAAUUUAAAAAUUAUAAUAUUUUUAAAAAAAAGAAUUUAAAAUUAAAAUUAAUUAAAUAUAAUAAUUUUAAAAAAAAAUUAAUAUAUGUACAUAUUGCCCGUCACUUUCAAAAUUUUGAAAUAAGUCGUAACAAAGUAAAAUUACUGGAAAGUAAUUUUAGAAU